rnacentral:rRNA from 1 species
CGUCAGCUCGUGUCGUGAGAUGUUCGGUUAAGUCCGCUAACGAGCGCAACCCUCGCUGUGUGUUAUAUGUGUCACACAGGACUGCUGGUAUUAAGCGGAGGAAGUGGGGACGACGUCAAGUCAGCAUGACCUUUAUAUCCAGGGCUACACACACGCUACAAUGGUCAGUACAAUGGGUUGCCAAGCCGCGAGGCGGAGCCAAUCCUAAAAAAGCUGGCCUCAGUUCAGAUUGCAGUCUGAAACUCGACUGCAUGAAGUCGGAGUUGCUAGUAAACGCAGGUCAGCUAUACUGCGUUGAAUACGUUCCCGGGGCUU